rnacentral:tRNA from 1 species
GCCAGGGUAGCUCAGUUGGCAGAGCGACUGUCUUGUAAACAGUAGGUCGUGGGUUCGAAUCCCACCCCUGGCU